AUGCUAGUGUUGGAGGGUUUCCGCCCUUCAGUGCUGCAGCUAACGCAUUAAGCAUUCCGCCUGGGGAGUACGGCCGCAAGGCUGAAACUCAAAGGAAUUGACGGGGGCCCGCACAAGCGGUGGAGCAUGUGGUUUAAUUCGAAGCUACGCGAAGAACCUUACCAGGUCUUGACAUACUAUGCAAAUCUAAGAGAUUAGACGUUCCCUUCGGGGACAUGGAUACAGGUGGUGCAUGGUUGUCGUCAGCUCGUGUCGUGAGAUGUUGGGUUAAGUCCCGCAACGAGCGCAACCCUUAUUAUCAGUUGCCAGCAUUAAGUUGGGCACUCUGGUGAGACUGCCGGUGACAAACCGGAGGAAGGUGGGGAUGACGUCAAAUCAUCAUGCCCCUUAUGACCUGGGCUACACACGUGCUACAAUGGAUGGUACAACGAGUUGCGAACUCGCGAGAGUAAGCUAAUCUCUUAAAGCCAUUCUCAGUUCGGAUUGUAGGCUGCAACUCGCCUACAUGAAGUCGGAAUCGCUAGUAAUCGCGGAUCAGCAUGCCGCGGUGAAUACGUUCCCGGGCCUUGUACACACCGCCCGUCACACCAUGAGAGUUUGUAACACCCAAAGUCGGUGGGGUAACCUUUUAGGAACCAGCCGCCUAAGGUGGGACAGAUGAUUAGGGUGAAGCGA
rnacentral:rRNA from 1 species